AUUAUUUUGGCAGAAUAAAUGCAAUGAAUUUAGAAUUCUUUUAUGUAAUUUUUUUACAAAUAAUA
rnacentral:tRNA from 1 species